rnacentral:rRNA from 1 species
AUUGAACGCUGGCGGCAGGCCUAACACAUGCAAGUCGAGCGAGCGGCGGACGGGUGAGUAAUGUAUGGGGAUCUGCCCGAUAGAGGGGGAUAACUACUGGAAACGGUAGCUAAUACCGCAUACCAUCGGAUGUGCCCAGAUGGGAUUAGCUAGUAGGUGGGGUAAAGGCUCACCUAGGCGACGAUCCCUAGCUGGUCUGAGAGGAUGAUCAGCCACACUGGGACGAAGACACGGCCCAGACUCCUACGGGAGGCAGCAGUGGGGAAUAUUGCACAAUGGGCGCAAGCCUGAUGCAGCCAUGCCGCGUGUAUGAAGAAGGCCUUCGGGUUGUAAAGUACUUUCAGUCGGGAGGCGUUACCGACAGAAGAAGCACCGGCUAACUCCGUGCCAGCAGCCGCGGUAAUUC